AUCCUGGCUCAGGACGAACGCUGGCGGCGUGCUUAACACAUGCAAGUCGAGCGAUGAAGCUUCUUCGGGAGUGGAUUAGCGGCGGACGGGUGAGUAACACGUGGGUAACCUGCCUCAUAGAGGGGAAUAGCCUUUCGAAAGGAAGAUUAAUACCGCAUAAGAUUGUAGUACCGCAUGGUACAGCAAUUAAAGGAGUAAUCCGCUAUGAGAUGGACCCGCGUCGCAUUAGCUAGUUGGUGAGGUAACGGCUCACCAAGGCGACGAUGCGUAGCCGAUCUGAGAGGGUGAUCGGCCACAUUGGGACUGAGACACGGCCCAGACUCCUACGGGAGGCAGCAGUGGGGAAUAUUGCACAAUGGGGGAAACCCUGAUGCAGCAACGCCGCGUGAGUGAUGACGGCCUUCGGGUUGUAAAACUCUGUCUUUGGGGACGAUAAUGACGGUACCCAAGGAGGAAGCCACGGCUAACUACGUGCCAGCAGCCGCGGUAAUACGUAGGUGGCAAGCGUUGUCCGGAUUUACUGGGCGUAAAGGGAGCGUAGGUGGAUAUUUAAGUGGGAUGUGAAAUACUCGGGCUUAACCUGGGUGCUGCAUUCCAAACUGGAUAUCUAGAGUGCAGGAGAGGAAAGGAGAAUUCCUAGUGUAGCGGUGAAAUGCGUAGAGAUUAGGAAGAAUACCAGUGGCGAAGGCGCCUUUCUGGACCGUAACUGACACUGAGGCUCGAAAGCGUGGGGAGCAAACAGGAUUAGAUACCCUGGUAGUCCACGCCGUAAACGAUAAAUACUANGUGUAGGGGUCGUCAUGACCUCUGUGCCGCCGCUAACGCAUUAAGUAUUCCGCCUGGGGAGUACGGUCGCAAGAUUAAAACUCAAAGGAANUGACGGGGGCCCGCACAAGCAGCGGNNCAUGUGGUUUAAUUUCGAAGCAACGCGAAGAANCUUACCUAGACUUGACAUCUNCNGAAUUACUCUGUAAUGGNNGAAGCCACUU
rnacentral:rRNA from 1 species